rnacentral:rRNA from 1 species
GCAGCCGCCGCGGGAAAACAGAGGGUGCAAGCGUUAAUCGGAAUUACUGGGCGUAAAGCGCGCGUAGGUGGUUUGUUAAGUUGGAUGUGAAAGCCCCGGGCUCAACCUGGGAACUGCAUCCAAAACUGGCAAGCUAGAGUACGGUAGAGGGUGGUGGAAUUUCCUGUGUAGCGGUGAAAUGCGUAGAUAUAGGAAGGAACACCAGUGGCGAAGGCGACCACCUGGACUGAUACUGACACUGAGGUGCGAAAGCGUGGGGAGCAAACAGGAUUAGAUACCCGAGUAGUCCCUGUCUCUUAUAC